rnacentral:rRNA from 1 species
UGGGGAAUUUUGCACAAUGGAGGAAACUCUGAUGCAGCGACGCCGCGUGAGUGAUAAAGAUCUUCGGAUUGUAAAACUCUGUCCUUAGUGAAGAUAAUGACAGUAACUAAGAAGCAAGCCCUGGCUAAAUACGUGCCAGCAGCCGCGGUAAUACGUAUGGGGCAAGCGUUGUCCGGAAUUAUUGGGCGUAAAGGGUACGUAGGCGGUUUAAUAAGUCCUAAUUAAAAGGCUAUGGCUCAACCAUAGUAUGGUUAGGAAACUGUUGAACUUGAGUAGAUGAGGGGAAAGUGGAAUUCCAUGUGUAGCGGUGAAAUGCGUAGAUAUAUGGAGGAACACCAAUGGCGAAGGCAACUUUCUGGAGUCAAACUGACGCUGAGGUACGAAGGCGUGGGGAGCAAACAGG